rnacentral:rRNA from 1 species
UACGUAGGCAGCGAGCGUUGUUCGGAGUUACUGGGCGUAAAGCGUGCGUAGGCGGUGGUCCAAGUCUGGUGUGAAAUCUCCCGGCUUAACUGGGAGGGUGCGCCGGAAACUGGGCCGCUGGAGUACGGGAGAGGCAAGCGGAAUUCCAGGUGUAGCGGUGAAAUGCGUAGAUAUCUGGAGGAACACCCGUGGUGCAGACGGCUUGCUGGACCGUGACUGACGCUGAGGCACGAAAGCGUGG